GAUGAACGCUGGCGGCGUGCUUAACACAUGCAAGUCGAACGGUGAAGGCGGAGCUUGCUCUGCCGGAUCAGUGGCGAACGGGUGAGUAACACGUGAGCAAUCUGCCCCUGACUCUGGGAUAAGCGCUGGAAACGGCGUCUAAUACUGGAUACGAGCUGCGAAGGCAUCUUCAGCAGCUGGAAAGAAUUUCGGUCAGGGAUGAGCUCGCGGCCUAUCAGCUUGUUGGUGAGGUAAUGGCUCACCAAGGCGUCGACGGGUAGCCGGCCUGAGAGGGUGACCGGCCACACUGGGACUGAGACACGGCCCAGACUCCUACGGGAGGCAGCAGUGGGGAAUAUUGCACAAUGGGCGAAAGCCUGAUGCAGCAACGCCGCGUGAGGGACGACGGCCUUCGGGUUGUAAACCUCUUUUAGCAGGGAAGAAGCGAAAGUGACGGUACCUGCAGAAAAAGCGCCGGCUAACUACGUG
rnacentral:rRNA from 1 species